CUGAAAAAGAACUUUGUUCUUUUAUUUUUUUUCUAAAUCUAAGAAUAUUAUCUUCUUUUAUGUCAGAAUACUAAGAACAUAAUGGAUAUAUAUAAAUUGGAAAAGAAGAUUGAGGAAUUGUCUAAAACUGAGACAGAGCAUCAAAUGCAGUUACAUACAUAUGAGAACACUUUGCUUAAUAAAGAUG
rnacentral:lncRNA from 1 species